GGCCUUGACAUACUAAGAACUUUCCAGAGAUGGAUUGGUGCCUUCGGGAACUUAGAUACAGGUGCUGCAUGGCUGUCGUCAGCUCGUGUCGUGAGAUGUUGGGUUAAGUCCCGNAACGAGCGCAACCCUUUUCCUAUUUGCCAGCGGGUCAUGCCGGGAACUUUAAGGAUACUGCCAGUGACAAACUGGAGGAAGGCGGGGACGACGUCAAGUCAUCAUGGCCCUUACGGCCAGGGCUACACACGUGCUACAAUGGUCGGUACAAAGGGUUGCUACCUCGCGAGAGGAUGCUAAUCUCAAAAAAGCCGAUCGUAGUCCGGAUCGCAGUCUGCAACUCGACUGCGUGAAGUCGGAAUCGCUAGUAAUCGCGGAUCAGAAUGCCGCGGUGAAUACGUUCCCGGGCCUUGUACACACCGCCCGUCACACCAUGGGAGUUUGUUGCACCAGAAGUAGGUAGUCUAACCGCAAGGAGGACGCUUACCACGGUGUGGCCGAUGACUGGGGUGAAGUCGUAACAAGGUAAGCGUAGAUGA
rnacentral:rRNA from 1 species